rnacentral:tRNA from 1 species
GCUCUAGUGGUGGAAUGGUAGACACGCAUGACUUAGAAUCAUGUGCUUACAGCGUGGAGGUUCGAAACCUCUCUAGAGCA